GAUGUGGUUCAGCACACGGAAUUUGCCCUCCUUUCUCAUAGAUGGAUCUGUGUUUUGAGAGUGCAGCUGUUGGAUUGACUCGGACCUGCACGAGUAAGAUCACAAUCCUUGAGUCCACCUAAAGGGCAUGACAUAGAUCCAGACCCCAACCUGUUUUCGGCCGAGAGGAGCUUGAUGCUGGCGGUGUGGCCGCAGUACAUGGCAUACGUCAGAGGAGUGUUCUCAUUGAUGUCUCUGGGGCCGGGCUCCACACCCAGCUGAAGCAAAGCCUGCACACAGUCGUCCUUUCCUGCUGCAGCUGCCCAGUGCAGAGGGGUCCUAACACAGAGAUCACAGAAGGAGAUGUGUUGAACUACAGCUCCCCAGUGCCGGCACUACCACCACCGUGCUUGACACAGGUGUCUUGGUACUCCUCACCAGGGCAGGGCGCCACCACAAAUGCUGGACACCAUCUGAGCCAAACAAGUUCAUCUUAGUCUCGUCAGACCACAG